CGGUUGUCACCGGCAUUAGUCGUCAUCGCCGCUGCCGUCGCUGUCGCCUCCGCUGCCGACGAUUGUCAAAGGAGGAUCAUCUGAGCGGAGAGGGCCACAUGGAGAUACCGAUACAUCUCCAUCUGAGCAGUAGUCGACUCAUCCAGAGACAAGCACAUCAUCUCCUGUCAUGAUAGAUUGAUUUUACGUAUCAUAAUUUUUUAUAUUUAAUUUAUUUUAAUUUUUAAUCAUGUAUAAAUAAUUGAUUUUAUGCUACCCGAUCAAGAGGACCAUCUGAUAGGAGGGACCCAUACAGAGAUGUCGGUACCUCCUCAUCUCAGCACGUGGCUAUCGAGAUAGCUGAUAUUGUCAUUAGGCGGACUCGUGGAGCUGUCAAAAAUGAGAAGCUGGAAGAGUGGAGGAGGGCACAUCCCGAGGAGAGGAUGAGGAUUGUCAUCCCAUCGGAAUAUGUCAUGUCAGUUCAGUGCCACAUCAGAGAUUCAUACGUAUGUGAGGUUGGCAUCAUUGUUCGAGCGUAUGCUUCCCUGAUGAUGUUUGAUUGGUGGAGAGUUUCGGAGCCGCAG